AAGGAAAUCACAUCUGAUGAGCCACCCUGUUACAGGUAGAAAAACAACAGAAACCCAAAUUACUGCAGUCAGGGGCAGCAUGUGGAGCAGCUGGUCAUGGUCCCUACCCUACAAAAGCCUGGAGCCAGGGAGGGGCUGGGAAACACCCCUUCCUCUUCCCACAAGCCUGGAGGUCAUUUAAGAUGUUCCCUUAUAGCACUGGGAGUAAAUAAGGCAGUGGGAUUAUGCCUCCUUUCCUGCUCCCAGAGGGAAAAAUGGGACCAUGUCACGAUGCUGGAGCACAGCUGCAGAUGGUCCAGACACUUCAUGGCACAAAAAUAUUCCAGACUACCCUGUGCUGGCAAGAUCGUUGAGUGACUGUUCAAUAUGAUCAGCCAACUCUUUGGAGAGCUCAUUCUGCUGAAGAGAGCUGUGGCUUCUAAUGAGAGCCUUCUGCAGAUGCUUGGCUUCUAUAAAUCGAGCAUUAAAGCCGUAUCUACAUAGCUGAAGGUCUAGCCCUUGAACUCUAUCAAGACUGAAGCAGAAUAAACAGAUGGCAGAAGACUCGUGAUACAGAGCUGACACGCCCAGGAACAGGAGAGCUGUACACCGCAGAAGAACAAAGUUCAGCGGGCUGGGAAUCAUCCCUUCUUUCUCUAGCUGCCUGUGAGAGGCUGUCACUCAUGAUCUCCUCCACCGGCUAUUUCAUGGCUUAUGGGUGGCUGCUCUCCUACCUUGCACUAACAUAAUUUUAUGCUACGUAUUUCAAUUACUCCCUGCAUAAAAAUAGUAUACGUGUAUAAUUCAGGCUGUGAUCCAGAAGUCCGCCCCCUUCCUGACAGGAGGGAUUAAUCUUAGAGAAUACCUCAUACUUUCAGAUAAUUCCACUCACUUCUCACAUUUCCCUCAAGUUCUCCCCCUUUGCUUCCCCCCCCUCCCACACAUGUGAUGUCGAGGGAAGGAAAAACGGAUAGGAAGGAGGGCAAGAUUCCCAUGUAUCAGCUCAGGGAAUGACAGGGAGCCAGAUCUUCUCCCACGCUGACUGGCACACGGCAGCUCCAAGAGAACACAGUCUGCCAGCUAAAGGGCAUGGCCAGCCCCUUCUCUCAGUUGCCAUCUGCAGCACGUACCGGCUGGAGGUGCACACUGCUCAAUCCUGUGGGAACUGAAAAAGAGAGGAUACACCACCAUUUAUCUCUGCUGGUGUCAUCGUCUUCCAUUCUCCAGAGCUUGUCACGGCAUGAUUUGGCCCCAAGGCCUCAGAGACUGCUCCAGAAGCCCUAAGCCAAACUAGAGGUUACAGUGUCUGUGGCGCAGGGUGCCUGUGGCAGAGCUGGAACGCUGGUAGCCAACGGCACGAUGGCUUUUGCUACAGCACUCACGGAGAACACCAGCUCCCUCUUCUCCCUUUCAUACUAUCUGCUCCUUUUAUGAACCUGAGCUAGGGACACCUUCAUUACAGCUCAACCCUGCAGCCCUGUCAGACACAGAUGAGGAAGACCGCAUCGGACCACGGAAAAUUCUGAACCAGGACAUCUCCAAGUGGUUGCGUCUAUCACAGUGAAUGGAAGCAGCAUGUAAUUUCAAGGCUGUUCUGCAAAACAGAUUACAUGUAGACGGGCUAAUCAAGCUUUUUUAGGUUGUAUUUGGUCUGAAUUUUAAGUUUUGGCAAGGCAAAAGUUAACAUAUCCCCAGGGUAUGAAAAAUUUCCUAUGAGUCUUUUGUAACAUAUAUGCAAAGAGUAAUUAAAACCCAGUUUACAACGCAUCUUAAAACCUGCAGUUCUGGGUUACUACAUAAAACCCUGAAAAUUAACCAACUGAAAAAAAUAAACUGACUAUAAACAAAGAGAAAGUGUUACUUCUCCUGUCCAAAUAGAGUACUACUGCAAAACAUAAAUAGUAUAAAGGAAAAAUACACUGGAUGUUUAAAAUUUUCAGAUUUCACCCUCAUAGAUGACUUCCAUAACAUAGGAAAGAUAAUUUAAC